rnacentral:other from 1 species
UAAGCCCUACCGUGUGCGUGGUCAAUCUGACUAUGUUAUGAGCCAACACCAUAACAAAGGGAGCCUGGACUCUGGCUGUGGCGUGUAUGCCUCCAUAUGAGGACACAUAAAGCAGUCAGGAGGGCACCCACCUGCCUGAGGCAGGUUCAUCAACAGUCAGGAAUAGCGGCAUGGUGGGGAUCAU